AGAUUGCUUCAUCUUUCAGAGGACAUAUGAAGUGUCUUUGCAGACAUUUAUUUGACAGCCACAGUUGCCAUGGCAGCCAAGUGCGAUGCUUUUGCCAGGGCAGAUGGGUGCAAAGAAAGUAGCGUUAUAAUGGCCAAUGGUGACCAUCAACGUCCUUCACGCUUUAAGUCGGCAUGCAUUUAGACACCCAGAGCUCCCAUUGCUGCUCAUAAUAAAGCAGCUCACAGUCCUGGACAUCCAUCUAUCCAUUUAAAGCAGCAGAGUUUCUCCUUGAGACCUUGAGGUGUCAGUUAUGGUGGCCGAUCCAUCAAAGUCUAAAGUGAGUGAUGAUGUCAUCACCACAGGCCAUGAGUGAAUGGGAUUUUUUCACACUCAACUCCUUCAAAAAUGAAAAAGAAACAUCUCUGGACAUCUCAAACCUUCAUAGGAAUACUUCACCUAAUAAUGACAUUUCUUACAUAAUUUUUUAUGUUUAUGUAAUUCUGAACCCAAAUAACAUUCAUAUAACUAUUUUGUAGAAGUUUAAAAUAAUAAUAAUAAACUUUA